GAUGAAGAACGUAGCGAAAUGCGAUACGUAAUGUGAAUUGCAGAAUUCAGUGAAUCAUCGAGUCUUUGAACACACAUUGCGCCCCCUGGUAUUCCGGGGGGCAUGCCUGUCCGAGCGUCAUUGCUGCCCUCAAGCACGGCUUGUGUGUUGGGCCUCCGCCCCCCGGCUCCCGGGGGGCGGGCCCGAAAGGCAGCGGCGGCACCGCGUCCGGUCCUCGAGCGUAUGGGGCUUCGUCACCCGCUCCGUAGGCCCGGCCGGCGCCCGCCGGCGACCCCCCUCAAUCUUUCCAGGUUGACCUCGGAUCAGGUAGGGAUACCCGCUGAACUUAAGCAUAUCAAUAAGCGGAGGA
rnacentral:misc_RNA from 1 species